rnacentral:rRNA from 1 species
AUUGAACGCUGGCGGCAGGCUUAACACAUGCAAGUCGAGCGGAGAUGAGGUGCUUGCACCUUAUCUUAGCGGCGGACGGGUGAGUAAUGCUUAGGAAUCUGCCUAUUAGUGGGGGACAACAUUCCGAAAGGAAUGCUAAUACCGCAUACGUCCUACGGGAGAAAGCAGGGGAUCUUCGGACCUUGCCCUAAUAGAUGAGCCUAAGUCGGAUUAGCUAGUUGGUGGGGUAAAGGCCUACCAAGGCGACGAUCUGUAGCGGGUCUGAGAGGAUGAGGAGCCGCACUAGGACUGAAACACGGCCCAGACUCCUACGGGAGGCAGCAGUGUGGAAUAUUGGACAAUGGGGGGAACACUGAUCCAGCCAUGUCGCGUAUGUGAAGAAGGCCUUAUGGUUAUAAAGCACUUUAAGCGAGGAGGAGGCUACUGAGACUAAUACUCUUGGAUAGUGGGCGUUACCCGCAGAAUAAGCACCGGCUAACUCUGUGCCAGCAGCCGCAGUAACAC